GCCUACGGGGGGCAGCAGUAGGGAAUCUUCCACAAUGGGCGAAAGCCUGAUGGAGCAACGCCGCGUGGGUGAAGAAGGUCUUCGGAUCGUAAAACCCUGUUGUUAGAGAAGAAAGUGCGUGAGAGUAACUGUUCACGUUUCGACGGUAUCUAACCAGAAAGCCACGGCUAACUACGUGCCAGCAGCCGCGGUAAUACGUAGGUGGCAAGCGUUAUCCGGAUUUAUUGGGCGUAAAGGGAACGCAGGCGGUCUUUUAAGUCUGAUGUGAAAGCCUUCGGCUUAACCGGAGUAGAGCAUUGGAAACU
rnacentral:rRNA from 1 species